rnacentral:rRNA from 1 species
GCACAAGCGGUGGAGCAUGUGGUUCAAUUCGACGCAACGCGAAGAACCUUACCUGGGCUCGAAGCGCAGUGGAAUCCGGUGGAAACAUCGGCGCCCGCAAGGGCCGCUGCGGAGGUGCUGCAUGGCUGUCGUCAGCUCGUGUCGUGAGAUGUUGGGUUAAGUCCCGCAACGAGCGCAACCCUUAUCUCUAGUUGCCAUCGGGUCAAGCCGGGCACUCUAGCGAAACCGCGCAGGAUAACUGCGAGGAAGGUGGGGAUGACGUCAAGUCCUCAUGGCCUUUAUGUCCAGGGCUACACACGUGCUACAAUGGUCGGUACAAACCGUCGCAAACCCGUGAGGGGGAGCUAAUCGGAAAAAGCUGGCCUCAGUUCGGAUUGGAGUCUGCAAUUCGACUCCAUGAAGCUGGAAUCGCUAGUAAUCGCAGAUCAGAACGCUGCGGUGAAUACGUUCCCGGGC